UACGUAGGGCGCAAGCGUUGUCCGGAAUUAUUGGGCGUAAAGAGCUCGUAGGCGGCUUGUCACGUCGAUUGUGAAAGCCCGAGGCUUAACCUCGGGUCUGCAGUCGAUACGGGCUAGCUAGAGUGUGGUAGGGGAGAUCGGAAUUCCUGGUGUAGCGGUGAAAUGCGCAGAUAUCAGGAGGAACACCGAUGGCGAAGGCAGGUCUCUGGGCCACUACUGACGCUGAGAAGCGAAAGCAUGGGGAGCGAACAGG
rnacentral:rRNA from 1 species